UACAGAGACUGCAAGCGUUAUUCGGAUUCACUGGGCGUAAAGGGUGCGCAGGUGGCCAGGUGUGUGAGGCGUGAAAGCCCGGGGCUUAACCCCGGAAUUGCACCUCAAACUACUUGGCUAGAGCAUUGGAGAGGGGAGCAGAAUUCAUGGUGUAGCAGUGAAAUGCGUAGAUAUCAUGAGGAAUACCAGAGGCGAAGGCGGCUCCCUGGACAAUUGCUGACACUCAGGCACGAAAGCGUGGGGAGCAAAAGGG
rnacentral:rRNA from 1 species